AAACACAUAGGUUUGGUCCUAGCCUUUCCAUUAGCUCUCAGUGAGAUUACACGUGCAAGCAUCCACAGCCCUGUGAAAAUGCCCUCUAGAUUAUCAGAACAUGAGGGGUGAGUAUCAAGCACGCACAUGCAAUGAAAACACUUUGCUUAGUCACGCCCCCACGGGAAAUAGCAGUGACAAACUUUUAGCCAUAAGUGAAAGUUUAAGUUACACUGACUAUUAGAGUUGGUCAAUUUCAUGCCAGCCACCGCAGCCACACGAUUGACUCAGGUUAAUAGAGUCCAGCAUAAAGAGUGUUUAAGAUUUUCUUCCCAAUAAAGCUAACCUAUAACUAAGUUGUAGAAAACUCCACUUAUAGUAAAAUACUCUACAAACGUUGCUUAACACCCUGAAUACGCUAUAGCUAAGGUACAGACUGGGAUUAGAUACCCCACUGUGCUUAGCCCUAAACCUCAAUAACUUAACCCAGAAAAUUAUUCAUCAGAGCACUACAAGGAAUAGGUUGAAACUCAAAGGACCUGGCAGUGCUUUAUAUCCUUCUAGAGGAGCCUGUUCUAUAAUCCAUAAACCCCAAUAGACCUUCCCACCUCUUGCCCUCAGCCUGUAUACCGCCAUCCUCAGCAAACUCCUUAAAGAUCGUAAAGUAAGCACAAGUAUUGUCAUAAAAACAGUUAAGGUGCAGCCAAUGAAGUGGGAAGAAAUGGGCUACAUUUUCUAAAUUAGAAAACUAUACGAUAGUCUUUAUGAACUCUAAAGACCCAAGGUGGAUUUAGCAGUAAAUCAAGAAUAGAGAGCUUGAUUGAAACAAGGCCUUGAAGCAUGCGCACACCACCCAUCACCCUCCUCAAACAUCACAUAAAAGUAUUUUGCCAAUAAUCCACUACACACUGAUACAGAGGGGAUAAGUCGUAACAUGGUAAGCAUACUGGAAAGUGCACUUGGACAAAUCAAAGU
rnacentral:ncRNA from 1 species